AAUAUUUAAAAAUGGCCGGGUUCAUUCAGGACACCCCCGUCUGUCGCUAGCAAUGAUGACGCAGUGUUUAGUGACAAUUCUCUCUGACCAGUCAGUAGUCUGCAGGUUUUCACGUCACCUUUUGGUAUCGCCUCAGCUCGCUUGGAACCUCAACGGAGGUGAUACUAAAAAAAGUACCUGUUAGCUAGUACCAGGUACUUUUUUCAUAAUGGAAAAACAAAAAAGGCGAGUAGAGUCGAGGUGAGUCGAGCAGGUACCAUGUAAUGGAAAAACG